ACAGCUGUAAGUUUCAGGAUCACUUUCUGGAAGGAAAUUGUACAAGUACAGAAGAGUCGUUGACAUUGUUCUGCAAGAAUAAUGGCCUUGUAGAUGCAGAAUUACAAUAUUACAGUAUUUAUGUACAGCUUUUUAGAAAGUGGAGCCAAUUGAGCUUUUUAUUUUAUUUUAUUAUAUUAUAUUUUUGUACCGACUGCAAUGGAG
rnacentral:misc_RNA from 1 species